GACGAACGCUGGCGGCGUGCUUAACACAUGCAAGUCGAACGGAAAGGCCCUGCUUUUGUGGGGUGCUCGAGUGGCGAACGGGUGAGUAACACGUGAGUAACCUGCCCUUGACUUUGGGAUAACUUCAGGAAACUGGGGCUAAUACCGGAUAGGAGCUCCUGCUGCAUGGUGGGGGUUGGAAAGUUUCGGCGGUUGGGGAUGGACUCGCGGCUUAUCAGCUUGUUGGUGGGGUAGUGGCUUACCAAGGCUUUGACGGGUAGCCGGCCUGAGAGGGUGACCGGCCACAUUGGGACUGAGAUACGGCCCAGACUACUACGGGAGGCAGCAGUGGGGAAUAUUGCACAAUGGGCGGAAGCAUGAUGCAGCAACGCCGCGUGCGGGAUGACGGCCUUCGGGUUGUAAACCGCUUUCGCAUGUGACGAAGCGUGAGUGACGGUAAUGGGUAAAGAAGCACCGGCUAACUACGUG
rnacentral:rRNA from 1 species